GCGCCAAAGAUUUAUCGGCAGAGGAUGGGCCUGCGUCUGAUUAGUUAGUUGGUGGGGUAACGGCCUACCAAGGCGACGAUCAGUAGCCGACCUGAGAGGGUGAUCGGCCACAUUGGAACUGAGACACGGUCCAAACUCCUACGGGAGGCAGCAGUGGAGAAUCUUGCACAAGGGGCGAAAGCCUGAUGCAGCAACGCCGCGUGAAGGAAAGAGGCCCUUGGGUCGUAAACUUCUUUCUAAGGGAAGAUAAUGACG
rnacentral:rRNA from 1 species